rnacentral:misc_RNA from 1 species
CAACCAUCAAGCCUGAGCUUGGUAUUGGAUGCCACCGGCUGGGUGCAUCUCAAAAUUAGUGGCGGUGCUAUUUAGCUUCAAGCGUAGUAAAUUUUCUCGCUCCUGGAGUUUUGGGUGGUGCCUGCUAGAACCCCUAAUUUAUAAAG